rnacentral:rRNA from 1 species
UUNCUUCGGGACAGNGGAGACAGGUGGUGCAUGGUUGUCGUCAGCUCGUGUCGUGAGAUGUUGGGUUAAGUCCCGCAACGAGCGCAACCCUUAUCCUUAGUAGCCAGCGGNNGAGGGCCGGGCACUCUGAGGGAGACUGCCAGGAAUAACCGUGGAAGGAAGGUGGGGAUGACGUCAAGAUCAUCAUGCCCCUUAUGAUUUGGGCUACACACGUGCUACAAUGGCGUAAACAAAGGGAACCGAGUCCGUAAGGAGGAGCAAAUCUCGAAAAAUAACGUCCCAGUUCCGNNACUGUGGUCUGCAACCCGAUCCACAGCAAACCUGGANAUCGCUAUUANNUCGCGAUAUCAGAAUGUCGCGGUGAAUACGUUCCCGGGCCUUGUACACAC